UCAUUCAGGCAGCAAAACUCCUCUAUUUCCUGUGAGUGGCAGACUGCCUUGGGCUGGCAAUAAACCUGUCAGGGAGAAGAGAUGAGAGGAGAGGGAGGAAACAGCUUCUACGUCACAUUUCCCUUCAGAUUGAGACGGCCUGUUGCUCUCACAGCUUCUCACUUCAUGGUUUUUGCUUCAGUACCGCAGAGAUGGCCCAGAAACUCAUGACAAGCUUUGCACAGGACCUUCUUCUCUCCCAACAAGGCAACUGGGCCAAUGCAGAGCCCUCAUUAGUUAAAAAUAAGUUUUAAAAAAAUCCCUCAGAGUUCACGUGUUUACUCGAAUUGAGAUUUUCAGUGUCAAUCACUGAAAAUUUAGAUUCGAGUAAAUUAGUUCAAGUUAUGUGGCGAUCCCAUUUCCCAGUUCACGGUGUUAAAGUUAAUAAAAGCAACACCAUAAAUACA